AUGCGCGCGAGCGGCAAGCGGCUGUGCCAGAUGGUCCACGACGCCGGCCUGCGGCAUGGCACCGAGGAUCGUCUCCAGACGGUGUUCGCGACCGGCUGGUGGAUGGCCGCCGUCGAUGCCAACUACGACUCUCAGUUGGACCAGAUGAUCGUUGCCACCACCAAGUUCACCAUCCUCAAGAAGCUCGGGGACGACAUCGCCGUACUCCUCCAGCCCAUGCGCCCGAGCUCCUCAUUGCCUGCCACCCUAAUCGGCCUCCAUGGCCAGAACCUCUUUCAAGCACUGGUGGCCCUGCGACUGCCCGCCGACGCCACGAAGAAUGUCCACCUAGAGGUCGCGCUCGCCGCGAGGCGCCUCGCCCUGCAAGAAUUCGUUGACCUACACAUCCACAUGUACGAGCAAAUCGUGUACAUAGGUAUCUACAAGGCCAUUGAGGACGCUACGACGUUGGCCUUCCUCAACCGGCUGGAAGCCUUGGAUGCCUUUGCUGAGAAGCACCUUGACCUCGCCACAAAAGCCGCCGCUCCUUAG
rnacentral:rRNA from 1 species